rnacentral:rRNA from 1 species
GUGCCAGCCGCCGCGGUAAUACGGAGGAUGCGAGCGUUAUCCGGAUUUAUUAGGUUUAAAGGGUGCGUAGGCGGGAUUUUAAGUCAGUGGUAAAAUCAUAUAGCUUAACUAUAUCAAGCCAUUGAUACUGGAGUUCUUGAGUACGGUUGAGGCAGGCGGAAUGUGUUGUGUAGCGGUGAAAUGCUUAGAUAUGACACAGAACACCGAUUGCGAAGGCAGCUUGCUAAGCCGGCACUGACGCUGAGGCACGAAAGCGUGGGGAUCAAACAGGAUUAGAUACCCUGGUAGUCCACGCUGUAAACGAUGAUAACUCGUUGUUGGCGAUAUACAGUCAGCGACUGAGCGAAAGCAUUAAGUUAUCCACCUGGGGAGUACGUCGGCAACGAUGAAACUCAAAGGAAUUGACGGGGGCCCGCACAAGCGGAGGAACAUGUGGUUUAAUUCGAUGAUACGCGAGGAACCUUACCUGGGCUUGAACUAGUAAUGACCGGCGCAGAGAUGUGCUUUCCCUUUGGGGCAUUAUUAGAGGUGCUGCAUGGUUGUCGUCAGCUCGUGCCGUGAGGUGUCGGGUUAAGUCCCAUAACGAGCGCAACCCUCAUUGCCAGUUGCCAUCAGGUAAAGCUGGGGACUCUGGUGAGACUGCCGGUGUAAACCGAGAGGAAGGUGGGGAUGACGUCAAAUCAGCACGGCCCUUAUGUCCAGGGCUACACACGUGUUACAAUGGCCAGCACAGAGGGCAGCCACUCGGCGACGAGGCGCCAAUCCAUAAAGCUGGUCUUAGUUCGGAUCGGAGUCUGCAACUCGACUCCGUGAAGCUGGAUUCGCUAGUAAUCGCAGAUCAGCCAUACUGCGGUGAAUACGUUCCCGGGCCUUGUACACACCGCCCGU